UGUCUCCCAUGUCUAUUGUACUUCAUCAGGUGCUCUGGUGUGUCUCGUAACCCGGCACAUGUUGAAGUACACUCAAUAUGAGGCGAUU
rnacentral:pre_miRNA from 16 species